rnacentral:rRNA from 1 species
UACGUAGGGCGCAAGCGUUGUCCGGAAUUAUUGGGCGUAAAGAGCUCGUAGGCGGUCUGUCGCGUCGGCUGUGAAAACCCCGGAGCUCAACUCCGGGCCUGCAGUCGAUACGGGGCAGACUGGAGUUCGGCAGGGGAGACUGGAAUUCCUGGUGUAGCGGUGAAAUGCGCAGAUAUCAGGAGGAACACCGGUGGCGAAGGCGGGUCUCUGGGCCGAUACUGACGCUGAGGAGCGAAAGCGUGGGGAGCGAACAGG